GAUGAAGAACGUAGCUAAAUGCGAUAAGUAAUGUGAAUUGCAGAAUUCAGUGAAUCAUCGAAUCUUUGAACGCACAUUGCGCCCCCUGGUAUUCCGGGGGGCAUGCCUGUUCGAGCGUCAUUUCACCACUCAAGCCUCGCUUGGUAUUGGGCAACGCGGUCCGCCGCGUGCCUCAAAUCGACCGGCUGGGUCUUCUGUCCCCUAAGCGUUGUGGAAACUAUUCGCUAAAGGGUGUUCGGGAGACUACGCCGUAAAACAACCCCAUUUCUAAGGUUGACCUCGGAUCAGGUAGGGAUACCCGCUGAACUUAAGCAUAUCAAUAAGCGGAGGA
rnacentral:misc_RNA from 1 species